rnacentral:rRNA from 1 species
GAACGACUCUCGGCAACGGAUAUCUCGGCUCUUGCAUCGAUGAAGAACGUAGCGAAAUGCGAUACUUGGUGUGAAUUGCAGAAUCCCGUGAACCAUCGAGUCUUUGAACGCAAGUUGCGCCUGAAGCCAUSAGGUUGAAGGCACGUCUGCCUGGGCGUCACGCAU